UUGAAUUGAAGAGUUUGAUCAUGGCUCAGAUUGAACGCUGGCGGCAGGCUUAACACAUGCAAGUCGAACGGUAGCACGAAGGAGCUUGCUCCUUGGGUGACGAGUGGCGGACGGGUGAGUAAUGCUUGGGAAUCUGGCUCAUGGAGGGGGAUAACUACGGGAAACUGUAGCUAAUACCGCGUAAUAUCUUCGGAUUAAAGUGUGGGACCGCAAGGCCACAUGCCAUGAGAUGAGCCCAAGUGGGAUUAGGUAGUUGGUGGGGUAAAGGCCUACCAAGCCGACGAUCUCUAGCUGGUCUGAGAGGAUGACCAGCCACACUGGAACUGAGACACGGUCCAGACUCCUACGGGAGGCAGCAGUGGGGAAUAUUGCACAAUGGGGGGAACCCUGAUGCAGCCAUGCCGCGUGAAUGAAGAAGGCCUUCGGGUUGUAAAGUUCUUUCGGUAGCGAGGAAGGUAUCAAAUUUAAUAGAUUUGGUAAUUGACGUUAACUACAGAAGAAGCACCGGCUAACUCCGUGCCAGCAGCCGCGGUAAUACGGAGGGUGCGAGCGUUAAUCGGAAUAACUGGGCGUAAAGGGCACGCAGGCGGUUGAUUAAGUGAGAUGUGAAAGCCCCGGGCUUAACCUGGGAAUUGCAUUUCAUACUGGUCAACUAGAGUACUUUAGGGAGGGGUAGAAUUCCACGUGUAGCGGUGAAAUGCGUAGAGAUGUGGAGGAAUACCGAAGGCGAAGGCAGCCCCUUGGGAAUGUACUGACGCUCAUGUGCGAAAGCGUGGGGAGCAAACAGGAUUAGAUACCCUGGUAGUCCACGCUGUAAACGCUGUCGAUUUGGGGAUUGGACUU
rnacentral:rRNA from 1 species